ACCAAAAAUAAACAAACAAACAAAAAAUAAUAUUCAAAUGGCCAAGAAGCACAAGAAAGAUGCUCAAUCAUUAGCCAUCAGGAAAAUACAAAUCCAAACCAUAUUGAGAGAUCAUAUCACUCCCACUAGGGUGGUCGUAAUCAAAGACAGACAAUAACAAGUGUUGGCAAGAAUAGGGAGAAAUUGGAAGCCUUGUACACUACUGGUGAGAAUGUAAGUUUGGCAUUUCCUCAAAUGGUUAAAUACAGAGAGAUCAUAUGAUGGAACAAUUCCACUUAGAUCUGUACCCAAGAAAACUGAAAACAUACAUCUAAAAUAAAUAAUGAAAACAGAAAACAUAUAUCCACACACAAAAUAAUUGGCAGAAGCAAUUAUUUUCAAUCACCAAAUAGCACAAACAACCCAAAUACCUGUCAAUAGAAAAUGGAUAAACACAAUGUGGCCUGCUCAAUGAUAUAAUGGGAUGUUCACAAACUGAAAUGAAACACUAACCUUACUGUAACACAGAUAAACCUUGAAAAUACAUUACUAAAUGAAAGAAGUCAGACAGAAAAGGCCACAUAUUGUAAGGUGCCAUUUAUACAUAAUGUCCUGAACAGGCAAAUCCAGAGACAAAAAGUAGAUUAGGGAGUGGGGACUCCAGGGAUGGGAAAUGACAGCUACAGGACAUGUGGUUUUUUGGAGAAAGUGGUAAAAAAAAAAAAAUAUUCUAGAAUUAGAUAGUGGUGAUGAUUACACAACCUUAAAUCUACUAAAAAACACUGAAUUACAUAAAUUUGAUGAUAUAUGAAUUGCGUCUGAAAAUUUUAAAAUCUCCUAGCAAAGGCUACCUCUUAGGGUAGUCAGUGUCCAGUGUCAUUCAGUAAGAUGACCCUGACCCAUAGCAGGUGUCUGGAACACUUUGGGGCAGACAAAAGCGUACAUUUGCUUAUGUCACAGGGUGACUUUGAGGGUGAUUAGGAAAGGCAGUGUUACAUAAACCCCAGAGUGAACAAGGACCAACUGGGAGGUCAGCAAGGUCACCCUGAGCCUGGGGCAUCCCUUAGCUCACAACCUGCCACCAAGUUCUUCUGGGACCUAGACAGUCCACAGGUACAGGAAAUCAUGUGCCCCCUGUGCCCAGUGGCUCCCCAAAGUUGGAUAACUGACCCGCCCACUUCCUGGGGCAGGAACACCUCUUCAGGGAAGUACAACAGAGACAGAGACCCAGACAGACAAAGGGAGAAAGGAGGCGGGGGAGAAAAGACCUCUUACUGGUCAUGUUCAUGACUCCUCAGACCAGGCCCCACCACAGGGAACCCCCUGGCUGAGAGGAAGUGGGAUGACCAUAAGCAUAUUCACUGUGUGGCAGGAGAAGAGGCGCUGCCCCCUGCCAUCAAUUCUCAGGGCAAGUCUGAGAUGCCCCUGCUGCCCUCUCAGGUCUUGGGAGGUUAAGGGACAGGCAAAAUGACCAGAGAGGGCCCACAAGCCCACAGAGUCCCUUACCAGCACUAAGUCUUAACUGUCAUGUUAAAUAAAAAUGACCCUAAAUGUUAAAGAGGAUGAUGGAGUCCAACUAUGCCCUGACCUUUCUCACCAGGAUAACAUAAAACACUUAUUCUGAAACAUCAUUCUUGCCUACAAUGUUUGGAUGCCCCAGACACCAAGGCAUGUGUAUUUCUGGACAUGUUGGGAUACGUUGUUGAAUCCUCAUGACCAUCUUAGGAGGUAGAAGGGGAGCCAGUGCUCACGGUGCUGGACAGAGGGAAUGGGUCAUUCAUACACACUGGGCUUUCCUACCCUUGUGGUCCUCAGGGAGGGACUUAUACAAUACAGACUUUUUGCAUCCCCUUGCUGCAAACACUUCCCUGGUUUCCUGUUGCCAAAGUCAUUACCAUGUCACCAGGCUCUGUCCACCUCCCCAGCCUCGCUUGAACCUCUCUCACCUGCCAUCUUCUAUGACCCUUCUUGGUCCCUCAGUGGACCUCAGGGCCUUUGUACAUGCUGUUUCCAUUUCCUAAACACUCUGCCUACUGAAUUGCCACAUAAACAUUUAAGUCCAACUCAAGUUUUGCCUCUUUAGGGAACCUCCCCCACCUUCCUCUAUCCCUGUGACCCUCCCAGAGUACCAUGUGUAGCACUCAUGGUGUAUAUAUUUACAACUAUGAAUUUUCUUCACAGUGAGACUGUAAAUUCUAAGAGGUAGGCACUGUGGUUGUGACUCUCCAUUGCCUUUUGGGAGUACAGAAAGGGCCCCAGAAUGCAGUAGGUGCUCAAGAAAUUCUUGGUGAAGGGAUGAAUGCAUGGCUAUCCAGAUGAGGCCAUCUG
rnacentral:lncRNA from 1 species